AAGGCAGUCGGGAGGAGGCAAGAUCAGAGUGGACCAUUCUAUCCAAUGAGUGGGCAGAUGCAUGUGUGAACAACAGGCACUACUCUGAAAAAAGUGUUUUUUCUCAAAGUUACAAAGUACACUCAUAACAACCUAAUCAUUGCUAAAUUUAUAUUCAAUCAAAUAAGCCACAUGUAGAAAAUAAACCAUACAUUUUUUGUUAACCAAAUUCGACACUCAUUAACCUCCAAACCAAAACUCCUCGCGUGGAGAGUGAAAAAAGCGGCACCUGCUGGAGAAAACAGAUUUUAAACCCAGUUAUUCCUCUCUCUUCAUCGCUUCCUUUCUGGCAGAACUCCUAUCCACGAUGCCCUUCCCAUUAUACCUACAAGCACAGUCAGAGAACUGUGUUAAAGCACAAAAACUAAGUCAAGAAAUGGUGGUGUCAGGAAGCCUGCAGCCUGGGGUUGGCAGAAACCAACGACACGUAAAGAAACCAAGCAGAAGAUCAAGAUGCAGAGGUUGGAGGCGAUCAACUGGCAGUGGGGCUUUGGUGGAGAAGGAGAUGUCAGAGAGGAAGGAGAGCAAGGUCAUACACCAGCCCCUCUCAGCUAGAUAAGUUCUCUGCUAAACACCUCAAACAAAAUGAGAAAUCUACUACAAAGCCAGUUCUAUUCUCUCAUCCCAAGCACACUCCCAAAUGAUCCUGUGCAGAAGAGAAAAACCUUUCACAGAGUACCCCCCCCAAAAAACAAGGCAUCUCCCUGCCAGGGUAGAUGUCAGACUGGAGAGGGUUCCACUCCCAGCCCUUCCUACCAUGUUGACAGCCCCAGACAGAAGGACCACCACCAGCACCAGGAGAUCCAGAGGAGGAGAGCACCAGCAGCCCUUGUUUCCCGGCCCCCGUGGGGAAGACAUCUCCAGGGAGAGUCUCACAGAGCAGCCCAGCUGUUGUGAAAAGAUACCGCAAGGGAUAGACACCCCUGCACCUGGCUGCUAUAAAGGGAGAUGUGGAGACCGUGAAGGAGCUCCUAGGCCAGGGGGCUGACCCCAACCUGAAAGACGCCGCUGGAUGGACCCCACUGGACUGUUAUGGUUCAGUGAGAAACAUGACUGGCGAAGAAGUCACUCAGAGCUGGUCUGAACCGACAUGUCAACGACCCCCCCCCAUCUCAGUUUGGCAUGGAAUAUACAGAAGGACACCAAAUUCACAACGAGCAACAAUGUGUUUGUAGGCGUAAUUAAAAAGUUGAGGAAAGAGGGGCGUGACAAAACUGCCCAUCACACAGCCAUAACUGAAGUUUGGACACGACAUGCAGCUCAUCAAACAAUCCAAGGCUCUGGACACUGAAACAUCUGAGGGUUUGGUGAACAAAGUGUGGUUUGAUGUUAAUUUUGGGCGAAGGGGAAGGAGGGAGAACGUUUUCUUAAAACUGACUGAUUUAAAAUAUGUACAGACACAGUUUUUAUAUGAAUGUAAUGUACGUUUGCUAUCUAGCCUGUGGUUAUGUUUCACAGCAACCAGUCUAGCAACACAACUUUUGUCCGGACUACUUUUUUUGGCGGAAUGUAUUUAUGAAUUUAUUUAUUAAAGCUAAAUGUUC